CACUCCCCAUAAAUGCUAAGUGGAACACCCCAGAUGAAGCAGCCAAUAUGCUUGACAUACAAACUAUACUAGACUAGCUUUAUGAUGACCAGGACACUCAACACUGAAUACACCCAUUACCCAGGUUGUGGAAAUGCAGCAGUUCCAAGGUGAAUGGACAACAUCCUGUUUGGAAGAUUAUCACUCUGAGUGAAGAAAAGUGCCUGGCAAAUAAGUAUGCAAUCUGGUGACCACAUACAGAAUCACUGCACCAUACUGAGUUGACAGGCGAGAAAACUUGUUCACAGAGGUUUGUAUGUUGAGCAAUGCCCAAGGAAGAAUGCCGUGCAGAACUACAAGAAGAACCUGGCUUAGAAAUAACCUCAAGGUAUCUAGUGUUACCAGUAGAAUAGCAUUUCUGUCAAAGUGAAUACAACUCAUUUUAAUUACUAAAUGUAUUUUAAUUCUCAAAUCUGAAAUCACAUUCUAAAAAGUUGUGCUUAAC